GGCCCCGUAGCUCAGUCUGGUGGGAGCUUGAUUUAUCAGGUUUACUGGACAAUUGGAGUGCUCGACUGAUAAUCGAGUGGUCCCGUGUUCAAACGCAGUUUUUAUGAAUGUCACGGCGGGGCCA
rnacentral:tRNA from 1 species